AUGACCAUGACGAGCCGACGACAGCGUAGCGGUGCCACACAGGGAUUGAGCCGAAGAUGCUCGGGGCCGAAGCUCCACACGGACGCACGGUCGAAACCCGUUGUAACUACGUCUGAAUCCUCUGUAUACCGACCAUAUCCGAAGCAUGAGCCAACCUUGCCUGCACAGCAUGUCUACAGUUUCAGAACGGGAAUCAAUCGUGCUUCCAAUGGCAAUGGCCUUCGCCUCUCUUCCUCCUCCCAUCCUCUCCCCCGAGAUCCAGACCCUCCCUUCCCGGCGAGCUCGCCAAGUUCGCAUCCUCUUAAUUUCGUGGAGCACUCUGCCUCAGUUGUACUACUGAAACCUACAGAUGGCGGUUCAGAUGCUUUGUGCACUUCGUCGGCAGUAUGGAAGGGUAUUAGUCAUGGUCUGGAUCUGCUGAAGAAGGGGAUUAUCUGGAGAGUUGGUGAUGGUACCUUAAUUAAAACCUGGCGUGAUCCUUGGAUUCCACGGGGGCACGACCUCAGGCCAAUUACACCAAAGAGAAAUUGUCGUUAUAAUUGGGUCGCGGACUUUCUGGAUGAACAUGGAGCAUGGAAUGUGCAGCGACUAAGAGAGCACUUUUGGGACAUGGAUGUUUGUGAAAUUCUAAAAAUCCGUACUUCUCCAAGGAAUCAACAAGAUUUCAUUGGUUGGUUCCCGGAGAAGAACGGAUGCUUUUCUGUGAGGAGCGCCUACCGGCUGGCAACCGGGAAUCAUGCGACAGGUUUAGCACGUACGGAGGAUAUUAUUAAAGGAAAAAUGCUAGUGAAGAAGGACGUCCACAGCGUUCAAGCCAGUGUGUUCACCAAGGUUUUGCCUUGGCCUCCACCGCCGGCGAACCGGGUGGCACUUUCCGUUGACGGAGCGUUCUCUUCGGCUGAUGGCUCGGCAGCGACAGGGAUGAUCUUGAGGAGACAUGAUGGUUCUAUCAUCUUUGCAGCAUACCGCUGCUUAUUUAACUGCAACGAUGCUCUGGAGGCGGAGUUGCAUGCACUAAUGCAGGGUAUGGCGUUGGCCGUGCAACAUACCAAUGUUCCUAUUAUCGUCCAAUCGGCCUCCUCCGAGGCAUUGACGGCGUUGUCGGGAGAUAAUCUGUCCCGGUCAGCAUAUGGGCAUUUGAUAGCUGAGAUUAAGCAUCUUAUGGUAGAUCAGUGGGAUUUGAACCCACGCCCUUUCGGACCAGUACCUGAAACUGGCGCCUUAGACCAACUCGGCCAUCUUGACGUUCUGACCACCGUGUCGACAACAGCUUUCAUAUACAAUUCCUUAGCAUCCUCCGCAAUCUCAAAGGGCCGGCUGCGAUCCUUCUCAAGCUUGGCAUCGCUGGACUUCGACUCCAGUCUUUGUCCCAUCUUCCGCGCCUCCACUUUGGGGUAUGUUAGGGAUGGGUUCUCCCGGUUCCGGACUGAUCACUGGAUCAAUGGCAGUCAAUCCCUAAGAUCACACCUCUCAUUUAUCCUCACGUCUUAUUGCAACAAGAUUUGCUUGUUCCACGAGGGCUUUGCCUUGUUGUUCGUGAUUCGAAGGCAUUCGUGGUUACCCUCGGUACUGCUGCCAUGGUCCAGUAGCUAUGACUUGAAGUGCUCUCCUGGUGCACAUCCACUAUUGUUGUGCCUAGCCAAGACUUCCCCUUCAGGCUGUGGUGGGCGGGCUCCCUUCAUCAGACGUCGGAUGCCCUUUGCAAGGUAUUCGCCUCCAUCGGGGUGCUCACGGCCUGCUAGCUUUGGAAGCUCAGGAACAACUACAACUUGCAUGACAAGCACCCUUUGUGAGGCACCUGAUCCUAACCAUUCAAGAGGAUGUGCAUCUUUGGGAAGCCAAGGGUUCUGA
rnacentral:rRNA from 1 species